CCGACCACAUUACGUUGAAAACACCGAUUCCCAUACGAUAACCGAAGUUAAACAACGUCGAACCUGAUCAGUACCUAAAUGGGUGACCCCUUGCGUAUACCAAGGACUGUAUG